AUUUAAAGUUUUGCUUGUUUGGUUGUUACGAUGUUGUGUUCGCGUCCUCAAAGACUUUGAUUAGAUCAAGCGAAUACAUAAGUAUAUUUAUAUGUAUUUGCUGAUUCGUGUUGAAUACACUCACCAAGUUUCUAAAAAAUUCGCUGGUGAAUGAGAAAAAUGGAAACGUUUUGUUGCUGUUUUUCGGCGGUUUUAAAACAUUUCGCUGCAAAUGGUUUUUGUUACAAUACAAAUGUUUUUGAGUAUACAAAAUAUACAACUGCUCCAGUGUUAGUGUUAAAUCUUAUUAACUAGCGAAGCAGAAUCGUUGCUGGUUCCCUUGAAAUCUAUGCAAAGGACUUGAAGCACGUUUACAUCUGUAUUGAUUUUUCAGCUUAUAUUAACGUUUGUUGUUCUUAUUAUACUUUCAUUAACAUAGUUUUUAUAUCGCGAACUCGAUAUUUUUUACCAAUUUUUUCCCUGGUUAUUCUUACAACAUAUACAUAAGCUUCACGAAUUUUAAUUUCACAUCACACUAAAUUAGUUGGAAAAUCAAGUAUUAUUAUUAUUACCUUGUUUAUUUUAUUUAAUAAUUUAACUUUUUAACUAAAUAAUCCUUGAUGGUAAAUUCAACCUAUUUUAGCAUAAUCCUGAACCACACAAAAAAUAUCCAUUUUAGAAAAUUUUACGCAUUGACCAAAAACCUUACUUUACAAGUGGACAGUGAUUGAUUUUUAUUAUAUAUAAAGCAGAUCCAUCCUAGAUAAAGAAUGCUUCCUGUAAGAAAAAAAAGAGGUUCAUUCUCUUUACUAUUGCGUUGCUAGUUAAUAAAUGUCCAAAAUAUCAAAAUGUUUUACUGCGCUGCAUCUUUCUUCACACUAUUUUGCUUUUCA